GUGCGCAGCAGCCGCGGUAAUACGUAGGGCGCAAGCGUUGUCCGGAUUUAUUGGGCGUAAAGAGUUCGUAGGCGGUCUGUCGCGUCGGAAGUGAAAUCCCGGAGCUCAACUCCGGGCCUGCUUUCGAUACGGGCAGACUUGAGUGUUGCAGGGGAGACUGGAAUUCCUGGUGUAGCGGUGGAAUGCGCAGAUAUCAGGAAGAACACCGGUGGCGAAGGCGGGUCUCUGGGCAACAACUGACGCUGAGGAACGAAAGCGUGGGGAGCAAACAGGAUUAGAAACCCUGGUAGUCC
rnacentral:rRNA from 1 species